GGGCGGACUGGGGCGGCUUGGACCCCCCCCCCCUCCCACCCACCCCACCCACCCACCCCUCCCCCACACCCCCGCCCCCUGCCCUUCCCGAGGGCAGCAGCCGUGGCCCGGAGAUAAGCGCUAGCGCGGCGCAGGGCUCUGCCUGGGCUAGUGGCACCGACUUGGGCAGAAACUCUUAAAAUCCUGGCAGCCAAGAGGGAAGUAACCUGGGGGAAAUGGACACAAGUCCAGGCAGUGAAGUGGGAUGCGCUGGGCUCAGUAGGAAAAGAAAACGCAGAGACCUGGGAAACGCGUGCUUUUCCCGUAGGAAAAAGAGCAGUUCCGCCCACCUAAAGGAACGGAGAAGACCCGCUGCCUGCGACGCUCUACACAUUCGAAAGGCAGCAACCUCCCUCAUGCCGCGGAAAGGCAAAAGGAUAGGAGAAACUGCAAGGCGGCGAGACUAGUUUCCUCAACGCAGAUCUGUGACUGACGACCGUUCCCGAACUCACAGUCUCCGCGGGCGCCGCAAACAGUCGACAGGGAGCGCGGCCCACGCAGCGGCCGCCGCACCCGUGGCCUCUACUUGCUUCUGCCCCGCUGCUCCGUGUAGGGGUUUGUUUGGAGCUCGCUCGAAAAAACAAACACGCUUCUCUGACACCCCCGGCCGCCCCCGCACGCACAUCUUUGGUCUCUGCAGCCGCCCCGCCUGCACAGUGCCGGCCGUUUUUCGGGGCGGACUCUUUGUCUGCCUGAAACCCCGCAUUCCCGGGGCGUGCAGCUCAAGAGAACCCAGCUCCAAAACGUCUCCGAGGUUAAAUAUUGACCAGAACCUCCUUCAAGGGGCUGCAGCUGCCUGGACGAGGAAACUCCUUCCAAAGGCCCGUGCAAAGCCCGGAGGAGUGAAGAGUUGGCGCAGCGCUUACCUCGAAAGAUGUUUAAGACUGAACCAGUGAUUGUCUCCAACUCCGGGCACUCAGGGAAUCGCCUUUUCCGGUGUCCUGGCGCUCUGCGGACAAAUAAACAGCAGAGAGUAAACGGUGGCUGCGAAGGAAGGGAGCUGGAGAACCGGAGUUGGAAGUGCGGCCCUGCGCGGGCGCCAGGGUGGCCCCCGGGGUGACGCGGACCCGGAGGAGUCGCCAGGGCACUCGUCCAUGAGGCGCACUCGUUGCUCGAAAGGGUCCAGUCUAAGAAUGGCCUGCAGAUGAUGAUUUAUUUUUGUAAAAUAAAUACAUACUCCAUCUCCGCA